CAGAAGGAGAACAAGGAGGGAGAAGGAGCUUGUGGAAGCUGGAAGCCUUGAAGAGAGAAAGGUGCCGAGUACACGGGGGCAUGAAGGCCUUGGCCCCACUCAGAAAGAAGGCUGGCAGAGUUCCAGCCUGCAAGGGGCUACAGGGAGCAGGACACAGGGGGUGCCACAUGCAUACACACGCACAUGCAUAUGCAUGUGGACAGGAUACAGCCCCAGGAAGUGGUGGAGAGCAGCUCCCUCAGCUACCUGCAGGCAGACCAAUAUGAGAAGGAGAACUAAAGGACAAGAAGCCAAGUUUUUGUAUCACGAGCCAAACACGCUACACACUCUCCUUCCUUCUACAUGGUAUGUCUCAUUGCUGCUAGUCUAACCAACCACCCACCCAGCCCGAGAUGAGGAAGAUGCAUGUCAGCAUUUUAAAUAUGUUGGUUGUUACUCUACUAAAAAGUCAUUUAUAAAAAAAAUAUGAAACUGGGUCCAAUAUAUCUUAAAGAAUACAUUUUCCAAACUGAAUUAUAACACAAUCCAGUUAAGAGACUUGCUUAAAAUUCUCAGAAAAUUCAUUCAGGACCCAAAUUAAAUGGUCGUUCUUUCACAGAUUCUGCAUCAUUUUUCAUACAUUAUAAAGCUAUUGACUGAUUCAAAUAAAAAAAAACCAUGCUGAACUUCAGCCACAAGUUGCCUUUCAUUAAUAGUAUGAAAACUAAUACUAGCAAUG